GUGUUGCUAUGAGGGUGUUUUCAAUGAGGCUUAUCUGAAGCGGGAAGCCCUAACCUGAGUGCAGGGAGCAUCCAUCUGCAGCUGAACUGAAACACCAAUUCUGGAUGUGAUAUUACCAGCUUCCUCCUCAUAGCUGAAUCCACAGUUAGUGCUGCACCUGCUAGAAUGACUCCUCCUGCCAUGAUAGACUAGACUCUCAAACUUUCUGAAGAAGCCUGAGAUUGUGUUGCUGGCACUGUGACCUAGAUAAUGACCAUUCUGGCUCAUUGGCAGCCUCUUCUCACUGGAUCCUCACAAGGUCAAAAAUGGUACCAUGGCUGCUAAAUCUCAUACAGAAAUGAGGUUAAAAAAAAAGGAUCUCAGUGUGUCAACAAGAGAUAUGUGUAUAUUGAACUGUUGGGGGAUGACUGUCUGCUAUCUUCCUUGUGUUCUAUAACUUGCUGAAAUGAACUUAACACUCCCAUGGACUGCUUUGUGCUUAUUCUGUCAGAAUGUCUAGCUGCAUUGUGAAGGACACACUGCCCCAGCAAGCAGCAACAUACCAUGAUCCCUGGUGGGUACCUUCUUAAAAAUUAGAAAGUCUGAUUUUAUAACACAUGUCUUGGUAUCUUGAAAUAUCUACUCUUAAAAUCCAAAGUGGUGUGUGUGUGUGUGUGUGUGUGUGUGUGCGUGUGUGAGCAAUAUUUGUAGCCAAUUGCCAGCUUUUACAAGAUGGGAAAGAUGCAACUCCUCUCUGCUUCCACACCUACCUUCAAAUCUGAAUUUGAUGUGAUUUCAAAGGCUGUCAAAGGGUUUUAUUUUAUUUUGAAAAGUUGUUAAAGGGUCACAUUAUGAAGUGUGGAAGCACGGGCAUUGGAAUUGAUUAGGUAGUCCUGUCUUACAACCCUGCCUCUGUAUGUUGCUGUCAGUAACAUUAUUGUCAGCCUCCCUGUGCUGAUCUGUAACAUAGGCACUCUAGUGUCUCCUCCAACAGCCUACCUGUUCAUUACUGGCCAUUCACUGAGUACUUGAUGACAAGCUAUGUUCUAGUCACUAUGUCAGAACUGUGCAGAGGACUAAGUGUAACAAUGUAUUUAAAGAACCUAAUAUUGUGGUAGCCUUUAAUAGACAAUUUGACAACUCCUAUUAUCUGAUUUUAAACCAUGAAAAACACACUCAGCUCUCCAGUUUCACAAUAGUUUGUUCUAAAAAAAAUUUGGUUAAUUCUUUGAGAAGUUCAUAUAACUCAUUAUGAUCAUGUUCAUUCCCCUGCAUGAACCCCUCCCAGAUCUUUUUCUGUGUCCCUAAGAACUGAAUGUUUGUUCAAAACAAUAUGUCCCCAAAGAAAUAUUAGAUUUGCAAAUCUUAUGGCCCUCUGUUUCACUUGAAUUGUAGCUUUUAUUAUUAUUAUUAUUACUAUUACUACUACUAUUAUUAUUAUUAUUAUUAUUAUUAUUAUUUAUCAUUACUGUCAGUGUAUACUCAUUAUCAGGAAAUACUACAUCUGAAUGUGUGGAAUCUUAGAACCUAUUGAAGUUAGAGCCAAGCCCUGCUUGUAUAUCCCAUCCCUUUGAUGCACUUAGUCAUUUAUCUCUUAGCUACAAGAAAGGCAGUGGUAUGGCUAACUGGGAAUCUAACCAUUUCUGGUAAUAAGGAGUGUCCCACUAGUUUUAUAAUUGCAAUGAUGUAAUACCAUUUUCUGGGAGGAAAACAUAGUGCAAAUAUUUUUAGCUGAUGAAAGAAUGGUUUAAUUUUGGAGGAGCUUUGCUAGCAUAAGUAAGUUGUCUAGAACGGGCAUGCUUUGUUGGUUUAGGGAGCUAUAUUAGGUGAAUUGGGGAGAUAUUUGCAUUCAUGCUAAUAGGAUUGAAUAACUAUUCUUAUCCAUUCAUGUCCAUUGGACUUUUUAAAGUUGUAUCAUUCUCUUGCACAGGAAUUCUAUUUUAGUUUCAAUUUUCAAAAGAAUACCUAAGAGACUGAGACAAUUCCUCACUACAAAAGACACAGUGCAUUGCAUCUUUCUUUGCCCUGCUUCUUUGCUCUACAACGGUUGUGAAAUUCUUAAAGCAUCUAGGAGCAAACUUACAGUAAUCCCAGCUCAAAACCGAACAAUCAACAAGACAAAACAAACAAAAAAUUCUUCCUACUUUGACUCACAAGCUGAGUAACUGGAUUAAUUGGAAACAUUGCAUGGGAAUUGGGAUUCUGGAUCUUUAAAGUAAACUAGCAUUCAACAAGCGUAUUUGGAUAAUUCAGGGUAAUCUAGUUAAGUAAUUUGCUAAUUUGUUAAUUAAUAAUAUUAACAAAUAAUUAGAAUUCUUGUUUUGAAACACAUUAGGACCUAACACAUAAGCUCCACCAAGUUUCUGGACCUUGUUUUUAAAAGCUCCACUCUUUAGGAAUUUCUGAUGUUUUCACCGUGUUGAGGAGUGAGAAGCUGAGAGCUGUCUCUUCAUGGUAUUUUUAUAAUUCCCUAUGAAUUCUUGUUUUAAAAUUAAUCUUUUUCAGGAAUCAUCUCAGAACAUCCUUCUCAGGAAGGUUGCAUUAAUUCCUAAAUAUUGCAGAAAUUAUAACCCCAGGAGUUAGACAUUUUGACAGCAGGCAGAUCACAUGUUUUCAAAGAUGGAAGAUUACAAAAAUAGCCUGUGAAGGAACUCUUAAGAACAAGAAAUGGGAAGGAAUAAAAAAUAAAUAAAAUUUAAGUGACCAUGUUUGUUUUUGUUUUUGUUUUGUCUUGUCUUUGACAGAGAAUUUCUGACUAGUUGUUCUGAAAGCAGAAAGGUAGCUGCGAGUACUAAAGUGUCCACUCCUCUGGUCCUCUACAUCAGGGUGAAUCCCAGUUCACUUUGAUGGUAGCUACCUACUAUAGCUUGGAAAUCAUUUUGGAUAUCUGAAAAUGUCCAUAAUAGAAGGCAUGGUCCCCAAGAUGUCACUCUGGGAAAGGUAGAACUUUGGAGAUGUGUGAAAGUUAAUCUCUGAGCAAAUGCUAUUGCAGUACAUUGUAGCUCCCCACAGAGCUCUUUCAGCUCUGGUUUAAGGUGUAACCAUUUGCACGCUCUAACAAGCACUUCUUUCAUCACUAUUUGCUAACCUCUGGAAGUACCUGAGGCACCAGAGUAGACAUUGCUCUUUUGUGUUCCUGAAUUUCCAAAUUGUUAAGUGAAAUAAACCUUGUUUCUCCAUAAACUUGCUGCAGCGAUACAGAGAGCUGGCUAAUACAUGAUCAAUCAAUAUUUACUAAUACACAGGGACUUCACGCAGAGAAAUAUUCUCAAACAUAAAAUGAUGAUCACAGAAAGUCCAUGAGGUAAUUAACAAGAAAAAUAUACAAUUUCUACAUGUUAGAUAUUUAUAUGAGAGAAAAUCUGCUGAUUUCUUUCUUCAAAACUUUCCAAUCUUAAUAAACAUUCUGAAAUCC
ensembl:lincRNA Gm37971 predicted gene, 37971